ensembl:misc_RNA
GCAUCAACAAAGGGAUGUUAUGUAACAGCUAUUUAUACUCGC